rnacentral:rRNA from 1 species
CCUGGCGGAGGCUUACCUGCAAGUCGAGCGGAGAGAGGUAGCUUGCUACCGAUCUUAGCGGCGGACGGGUGAGUAAUGCUUAGGAAUCUGCCUAUUAGUGGGGGACAACAUUUCGAAAGGAAUGCUAAUACCGCAUACGUCCUACGGGAGAAAGCAGGGGAUCUUCGGACCUUGCGCUAAUAGAUGAGCCUAAGUCGGAUUAGCUAGUUGGUGGGGUAAAGGCCUACCAAGGCGACGAUCUGUAGCGGGUCUGAGAGGAUGAUCCGCCACACUGGGACUGAGACACGGCCCAGACUCCUACGGGAGGCAGCAGUGGGGAAUAUUGGACAAUGGGCGCAAGCCUGAUCCAGCCAUGCCGCGUGUGUGAAGAAGGCCUUAUGGUUGUAAAGCACUUUAAGCGAGGAGGAGGCUACUUUAGUUAAUACCUAGAGAUAGUGGACGUUACUCGCAGAAUAAGCACCGGCUAACUCUGUGCCAGCAGCCGCGGUAAUACAGAGGGUGCAAGCGUUAAUCGGAUUUACUGGGCGUAAAGCGCGCGUAGGCGGCUAAUUAAGUCAAAUGUGAAAUCCCCGAGCUUAACUUGGGAAUUGCAUUCGAUACUGGUUAGCUAGAGUGUGGGAGAGGAUGGUAGAAUUCCAGGUGUAGCGGUGAAAUGCGUAGAGAUCUGGAGGAAUACCGAUGGCGAAGGCAGCCAUCUGGCCUAACACUGACGCUGAGGUGCGAAAGCAUGGGGAGCAAACAGGAUUAGAUACCCUGGUAGUCCAUGCCGUAAACGAUGUCUACUAGCCGUUGGGGCCUUUGAGGCUUUAGUGGCGCAGCUAACGCGAUAAGUAGACCGCCUGGGGAGUACGGUCGCAAGACUAAAACUCAAAUGAAUUGACGGGGGCCCGCACAAGCGGUGGAGCAUGUGGUUAAUUCGAUGCACGCGAAAACCUACCUGGCCUUGACUAGUAAAACUUUCCGAAAUGGAUUGGGGCUUCGGAACUUACUACGGGGCUGCUGGCUGCCCCACUCG